GGGAGUAUAGCUUAAUGGUAGAGUACAUGUUUAGUAGGCACGAGGCCCUGGAUUCAGUCUCCAGUACCUCCA
rnacentral:tRNA from 1 species